GCAGUCGAACGCACAGCGAAGGUGCUUGCACCUUUCAAGUGAGUGGCGAACGGGUGAGUAACACGUGGACAACCUGCCUCAAGGCUGGGGAUAACAUUUGGAAACAGAUGCUAAUACCGAAUAAAACUUAGUGUCGCAUGACACAAAGUUAAAAGGCGCUUCGGCGUCACCUAGAGAUGGAUCCGCGGUGCAUUAGUUAGUUGGUGGGGUAAAGGCCUACCAAGACAAUGAUGCAUAGCCGAGUUGAGAGACUGAUCGGCCACAUUGGGACUGAGACACGGCCCAAACUCCUACGGGAGGCUGCAGUAGGGAAUCUUCCACAAUGGGCGAAAGCCUGAUGGAGCAACGCCGCGUGUGUGAUGAAGGCUUUCGGGUCGUAAAGCACUGUUGUAUGGGAAGAACAGCUAGAAUAGGAAAUGAUUUUAGUUUGACGGUACCAUACCAGAAAGGGACGGCUAAAUACGUGCCAGCAGCCGCGGUAAUACGUAUGUCCCGAGCGUUAUCCGGAUUUAUUGGGCGUAAAGCGAGCGCAGACGGUUUAUUAAGUCUGAUGUGAAAGCCCGGAGCUCAACUCCGGAAUGGCAUUGGAAACUGGUUAACUUGAGUGCAGUAGAGGUAAGUGGAACUCCAUGUGUAGCGGUGGAAUGCGUAGAUAUAUGGAAGAACACCAGUGGCGAAGGCGGCUUACUGGACUGCAACUGACGUUGAGGCUCGAAAGUGUGGGUAGCAAACAGGAUUAGAUACCCUGGUAGUCCACACCGUAAACGAUGAACACUAGGUGUUAGGAGGUUUCCGCCUCUUAGUGCCGAAGCUAACGCAUUAAGUGUUCCGCCUGGGGAGUACGACCGCAAGGUUGAAACUCAAAGGAAUUGACGGGGACCCGCACAAGCGGUGGAGCAUGUGGUUUAAUUCGAAGCAACGCGAAGAAACCUUACCAGGUCUUGACAUCCUUUUGAAGCUUUUAGAGAUAGAAGUGUUCUCUUCCGAGACAAAGUGACAGGUGGGUGCAUGGGUCGUCGUCCGCCUCGUGGUCGUGGAAAUGUUGGGGUUAAGUCCCCGCAACGAGGCGCAACCCUUUAUUGGUUAGUUGGCCAGCAAUUCAGAUGGGGCACUUUAAGCGAAGACUGGCCGGUUGACCAAACCGGAAGGAAGGGCGGGGAACGAACGUCCGANUCAUCAUGGCCCCUUUAUGGACCUGGGGCUUACCCACCGUGGCUUACAAUGGGCGUAAUACCAACGAAGUUUGCCCAACCCCCCCGAGGGGUGGAGCUAAAUCCCCUUAAAGGUACCUUCUCAAGUUCCGGAAU
rnacentral:rRNA from 1 species